CCCGGUUUAUUUGUUACUAACAACAACAACUUAGAAACCCUAAGCCAAAUUCAUGGCCGCUCAAACCUGUAACCAAACGAAAAACUUCUUCCUCCUCAUCUCGAUUUCAGACUUCUUUCCUAGAUUUCGUUUGACUUCUUACUACGAUUUUGGCCGGCCAACACUCACGUUUCCAGCCUAAUGAACACGCGACAGCUGCUGCUCAAAAACCUCAUUCGGUUGUGUUCCUCACGAAUCUGGCCUCGUCCAAAUGCGAUUUCGACCGCCUCAAAAACCGGCGACGAUUCUGGCCGCUCUCAAACCGCGAUUGCGACCUCACUCAAACCGCGACUGCGGCCGCUCAAGAAAACCGGCAACGAUUUCGGCUGCAUCCCUUAACCCCUAUUCCGACCUCACUCAAACUGCGACUGUGGCCGCUCAAGAAAAAAUGGCGAUGAUUCUCUCUCGAAAUCUAAUAUAACAAAACCUAAGGUAUUCGAAAUGAAAUCUUAAAGAGAGUAAAGAGGUAUACCAGAAUGGGAAACGAAAAUCCGGCGUGGCGGUUAGAAUCUUCAAGCGUGGCAGCAAUGCUGUAAGACAAAAUAAUUGUCUAAGGAGAGCAGAAGGAGGUGGCAGGACAAGGACAAGAUAUCUAGUAGGUUUUGUUUGUAAAUAUAUUAUAACAUAUUGGACAACAAUUCUAGUUACUGUAAUAAUGUAAACAUAUUGGACAUGCCUUGUAAACAUAUUGUAAUUUUACUUAUAUGUAACUUUUUGCCUUGAUAA